rnacentral:rRNA from 1 species
UGAGGAAUAUUGGUCAAUGGACGGAAGUCUGAACCAGCCAAGUAGCGUGUAGGAUGACGGCCCUCCGGGUUGUAAACUGCUUUUAGUUGGGAAUAAAAAGAGGGACGUGUCCCUAAUUGUAUGUACCUUCAGAAAAAGGACCGGCUAAUUCCGUGCCAGCAGCCGCGGUAAUACGGAAGGUCCAGGCGUUAUCCGGAUUUAUUGGGUUUAAAGGGAGCGUAGGCGGAUUAUUAAGUCAGUGGUGAAAGACGGUGGCUCAACCAUCGUUAGCCAUUGAAACUGGUAGUCUUGAGUGCAGACAGGGAUGCUGGAACUCGUGGUGUAGCGGUGAAAUGCUUAGAUAUCACGAUGAACUCCGAUCGCGAAGGCAGGUGUCCGGGCUGCAACUGACGCUGAGGCUCGAAAGUGUGGGUAUCAAACAGG